rnacentral:rRNA from 1 species
UACGUAGGGGGCAAGCGUUGUCCGGAUUUAUUGGGCGUAAAGAGCGUGUAGGCGGCCAGGUAGGUCAGCUGUGAAAACUCGAGGCUCAACCUCGAGACGCCGGUUGAAACCAUCUGGCUAGAGUCCGGAAGAGGAGAGUGGAAUUCCUGGUGUAGCGGUGAAAUGCGCAGAUAUCAGGAAGAACACCCGUGGCUAAGGCGGCUCUCUAGUACGGUACUGACGCUGAUACGCGAAA